rnacentral:miRNA from 13 species
UCGGUUAUCACGGUACCGAUGCU